GAUGAACGCUGGCGGCGUGCCUAAUACAUGCAAGUCGAGCGAACAGACGAGGAGCUUGCUCCUUUGACGUUAGCGGCGGACGGGUGAGUAACACGUGGAUAACCUACCUAUAAGACUGGGAUAACUUCGGGAAACCGGAGCUAAUACCGGAUAACAUGUUGAACCGCAUGGUACAACAGUGAAAGACGGUCUUGCUGUCACUUAUAGAUGGAUCCGCGCCGCAUUAGCUAGUUGGUAAGGUAACGGCUUACCAAGGCAACGAUGCGUAGCCGACCUGAGAGGGUGAUCGGCCACACUGGAACUGAGACACGGUCCAGACUCCUACGGGAGGCAGCAGUAGGGAAUCUUCCGCAAUGGGCGAAAGCCUGACGGAGCAACGCCGCGUGAGUGAAGAAGGUCUUCGGAUCGUAAAACUCUGUUAUUAGGGAAGAACAAAUGUGUAAGUAACUAUGCACGUCUUGACGGUACCUAAUCAGAAAGCCACGGCUAACUACGUG
rnacentral:rRNA from 1 species